rnacentral:lncRNA from 1 species
CCUAUUCCCAUCUUCUCUAACUUCAAAGUACUGCAAGAAGAGACCAUAGAGCUAUUCACCAGUUAAUGUGUACUGUUCUUCAAACAAGUGAAGCAUGGCUGCUAAGAAGAUUCAGAGAUCAUUAGAGGUGCUCCCUCUGUUUCAAAGGGG